AUGGGGGAAUCUGGGCGGACCACCGCCUAAGGCUAAGUACUCCGGGUGACCGAUAGUGGACCAGUACCGUGAGGGAAAGGUGAAAAGAACCCCGGGAGGGGAGUGAAAUAGAGCCUGAAACCGUGGGCUUACAAGCAGUCGCGGCCCUUUUGUGGGGUUGCGGCGUGCCUAUUGAAGCAUGAGCCGGCGACUCACGGUCGCGGGCGAGCCUAAGCCGUUAGGCGGAGGCGUAGGGAAACCGAGUCCGAAUAGGGCGCAAGUCCGUGGCCGUGGACCCGAAACCGGGCGAGCUAGCCCUGGCCAGGGUGAAGCUGGGGUAACGCCCAGUGGAGGCCCGAACCGGUGGGGGAUGAAAACCCCUCGGAUGAGCUGGGGCUAGGAGUGAAAAGCUAACCGAGCCCGGAGAUAGCUGGUUCUCCCCGAAAUGACUUUAGGGUCAGCCUCAGGCGCUGACUGGGGCCCGUAGAGCACUGAUAGGGCUAGGGGGCCCACCAGCCUACCAAACCCUGUCAAACUCCGAAGGGUCCCAGGUGGAGCCUGGGAGUGAGGGCGCGGGCGAUAACGUCCGCGUCCAAGCGCGGGAACAACCGAGACCGCCAGCUAAGGCCCCCAAGUCUGGGCUAAGUGGGAAAGGAUGUGGCGCCGCACAGACAGCCAGGAGGUUGGCUUAGAAGCAGCCAUCCUUUAAAGAGUGCGUAAUAGCUCACUGGUCGAGCGGCGCUGCGCCGAAAAUGAUCGGGGCUUAAGCCCAGCGCCGAAGCUGCGGGUCUAGGGGGAUGACCCCUAGGCGGUAGGGGAGCGUUCCCUAUGCCGAUGAAGGCCGACCCGUGAGGGCGGCUGGAGGUACGGGAAGUGCGAAUGCCGGCAUGAGUAACGAUAAAGGGGGUGAGAAUCCCCCUCGCCGUAAGCCCAAGGGUUCCUACGCCAUGGUCGUCAGCGUAGGGUUAGGCGGGACCUAAGGUGAGGCCGAAAGGCGUAGCCGAAGGGCAGCCGGUUAAUAUUCCGGCCCUUCCCAUGGGUGCGAUGGGGGGACGCUCUAGGCUAGGGGGACCGGAGCCAUGGACGAGCCCGGCCAGAAGCGCAGGGCGGGAGGUAGGCAAAUCCGCCUCCCAUAAGCUCUGCGUGGUGGGGAAGCCCGUACGGGUGACAACCCCCCGAAGCCAGGGAGCCAAGAAAAGCCUCUAAGCUUAACCCAUGGGAACCCGUACCGCAAACCGACACAGGUGGGCGGGUGCAAGAGCACUCAGGCGCGCGGGAGAACCCUCGCCAAGGAACUCUGCAAGUUGGCCCCGUAACUUCGGGAGAAGGGGUGCUCCCCUUCAAGGGGAGCCGCAGUGAACAGGCUCCGGCGACUGUUUACCAAAAACACAGCUCUCUGCGAACCCGUAAGGGGAGGUAUAGGGAGCGACGCUUGCCCAGUGCCGGAAGGUCAAGGGGAGGGGUGCAAGCCCCAAACCGAAGCCCCGGUGAACGGCGGCCGUAACUAUAACGGUCCUAAGGUAGCGAAAUUCCUUGUCGGGUAAGUUCCGACCCGCACGAAAGGCGUAACGACUUGGGCGCUGUCUUGACGAGGGGCCCGGCGAAAUUGUAGUAUGAGUGAAGAUGCUCAUUACCCGCAGCUGGACGGAAAGACCCCGUGGAGCUUUACUGCAGCCUGAUAUUGGAUUUCGGCACUGGAUGUACAGGAUAGGUGGGAGGCGUAGAACCUGGCUCGUCAGGGUCAGGGGAGCCGGCGGUGGGAUACCACCCUUCUGGUGCUGGGGUUCUAACCGCGGGCCGUGAAGCCGGUCGCGGGACAGUGUCAGGUGGGCAGUUUGACUGGGGCGGUCGCCUCCUAAAGGGUAACGGAGGCGCCCAAAGGUCACCUCAGCGCGGUUAGGAAUCGCGCGAUGAGUGCAAAGGCAUAAGGUGGCCUGACUGCGAGACGGACACGUCGAGCAGAGUCGAAAGACGGGCUUAGUGAUCCGGCGGUGCUGGAUGGGAGGGCCGUCGCUCAACGGAUAAAAGCUACCCCGGGGAUAACAGGCUGAUCUCCCCCAAGAGUCCACAUCGACGGGGAGGUUUGGCACCUCGAUGUCGGCUCGUCGCAUCCUGGGGCUGGAGCAGGUCCCAAGGGUUGGGCUGUUCGCCCAUUAAAGCGGUACGCGAGCUGGGUUCAGAACGUCGUGAGACAGUUCGGUCCCUAUCCGCUGCGGGCGCAGGAUACUUGAGGGGAGCCGCCCCUAGUACGAGAGGACCGGGGUGGACGGACCGAUGGUGUACCAGUUGUCUCGCCAGGGGCACAGCUGGGUAGCCAAGUCCGGAGGGGAUAAGCACUGAAGGCAUCUAAGUGCGAAGCCCACCCCAAGAUAAGGUAUCCCACCCUGCU
rnacentral:rRNA from 1 species